GCCCCAGUAGCUCAGCUGGUUAGAGCGCCUCCUUGGUAAGGAGGAGGCCGCGAGUUCAAAUCUCGCCUGGGGCU
rnacentral:tRNA from 1 species